UGGCGAUGAUGACUCCUUAGGACACCUUUGGAUUCCUCAUGAAAACAAGAACUAUCUGAGCGCC